AAGACGUUGUCAUUAAAUUUAGCUUCGAAAUUGAUCGGGCUGUCAGAGGAUUGGCCACGAGAACGGGAGGAAUGUCCUCGAUCCAGUAGUAGAAUUCCGAUAGGUCCAGUGUGGAUAGAGAUCGACAAUGUUCGAAAAUGGGGGCGAGGUCCUCCCCAGGAGCGGAUUGAGGCCGUUGAUGCCACCGAACCAACUUAACGUGGCGUAACUCUGGCCAUUGACGUGCGAGAAUCUGAAGGGUAGUUGGGGUUCGCGCAUAGACAGUGAGAGAAGUGACUAAUGGAAACAGGCCGCGAAGGCGGUGGGCGAGGAGAUCAGGAUCCGGUGACGAGCAGAGGAACGCGUGUCCCCACGGCGAGAGAAGAGAGAGGUCUAAGUGGGUUACAGAUCUGAAGCACGUCGGAAUUCCGUAGAGGUCUCGGGCGUUUCCCCUCAGUGAGAGUGAAAAGCGCGUCGCCCUCUCUAAAGACAAGAAUUUCCGGCAUACAAGAGACAGAGAGUUCC
rnacentral:lncRNA from 1 species